rnacentral:tRNA from 1 species
GGGGAUGCGCCGGAGUGGGAGAGCCGGGCCAGACUGUAAAUCUGGUGUCUAUGACUGAGUGGGUUCGAAUCCAACUAUCCCCA